CCUACGGGGGGCUGCAGUGGGGAAUAUUGGACAAUGGGCGAAAGCCUGAUCCAGCCAUGCCGCGUGUGUGAAGAAGGCCUUCGGGUUGUAAAGCACUUUCAGUGGGGAAGAAAGCCUUGGGGCUAAUACCCUCGAGGAAGGACAUCACCCACAGAAGAAGCACCGGCUAACUCCGUGCCAGCAGCCGCGGUAAUACGGAGGGUGCGAGCGUUAAUCGGAAUUACUGGGCGUAAAGCGCGCGUAGGCGGUCUGAUAAGCCGGUUGUGAAAGCCCCGGGCUCAACCUGGGAAUGGCAUCCGGAACUGUCAGGCUAGAGUGCAGGAGAGGAAGGUAGAAUUCCCGGUGUAGCGGUGAAAUGCGUAGAGAUCGGGAGGAAUACCAGUGGCGAAGGCGGCCUUCUGGACUGACACUGACGCUGAGGUGCGAAAGCGUGGGUAGCAAACAGGAUUAGAUACCCCAGUAGUC
rnacentral:rRNA from 1 species